AGGGAUAUAGCUCAGUUGGUAGAGUGCUUGCCUUGCAUGCACAAGGCCCUAGGUUCUAUCCCCAGCACCCCCU
rfam:Ictidomys tridecemlineatus contig043133, whole genome shotgun sequence.